rnacentral:rRNA from 1 species
UACGUAGGGGCAAGCGUUGUCCGGAAUCAUUGGGCGUAAAGCGCGUGUAGGCGGCCAGGUAAGUCCGUUCUGAAAGCCCGGGGCUCAACCCCGGGAGGCGGAUGGAUACUGCUUGGCUCGAGUCCGGAAGAGGCGAGUGGAAUUCCCGGUGUAGCGGUGAAAUGCGCAGAUAUCAGGAGGAACACCGGUGGCGAAGGCGGGUCUCUGGGCAACAACUGACGCUGAGGAGCGAAAGCGUUGGGGAGCGAACAGGA